GCCAGGCAGAGUGAGCACUAACACGUACGCAGAAACACAUGCCAAGAUGUAGAACUGUGGAGGACCUGGGUUGUAAAUAUGUGAAAAUGGUUGAAAAUAGAUUUAGACAAACACACACACACAGACACACACAGUCACACACACACAGACACACACACACACACACUGGUUUGGUUUAGCGAACAUUCAGGAAUGGAUUAGACCCGAUGCUUCCCUGCUUCUACAACAUAACUGACUAAUCAGGUAUCACAUCUACACACACUCGCAUUGUUAUGGCUUUAGUCUCAUUUGUGUAAGCUUGAGCAGAGCAACAGGUUGCCAUGUAUUUAGAACUUUCAUCCUCUUGCUCCUCUUUUUCCUCUUCCUUUUGUCCCGGCCUGGGAUGCACAGAGGUCUCAGUGUCACAUGUGCACUGUGGUUAACAGGAGGCCCCGCUGAGGCACAACACUGCACAAGCAUCAAUGGAAACACUGACAUAUCUAACCCGUGACUGCUGAAAGCUCAGAGACCGCUCUCGUCGUUUGUCUGACAGCUAAGCCGAUGUGAAAUACAGAACAAAAACACACCUCUGCUUUUCACAUUAAAGCUGUUGAGCGUUAACACUGAGGGCCAAUUCAUACUGUGUAUGUUGCAGCGCUGGAACCACAAGGUGGGGACGAUGAAGCCACAAAGCCCCCCACCCUGAGUCUCACUCUCCGGGGUUCUUAACAUCAAUCCCUAUUUGACCCUCUAUCCAUCCCCUUGUGCUCAACUCCAUUUAACCCCACUUCCAUUACACUAUCUGUCGUUCCAAUUAACUAAGUUGCUCACCAAAAUGAUGUGGUCUUUGUCAGUUAACUGACCAUUUUCCAAAAGCAUACCCUUAAGUUUGUAGAUUGAUUUCAUAACUUCAAGGCAGCUAUUGUUUUUAGUUGAUUUCAGUAUGCAGUGAAAAUCAAAAUGCAGACUCAAAUCUUGCUAGAUACAGAAAUAAUCUAUCAGUUACUAUUACGUAGGUUUCUUGUUUUUUUGUUAAAUGUUGAGCAGGGGCUGUUUUGAAACUAUUCUUUGCUGAAAUUUGAGAGUUAAAAAAACAUGCAUGAGUUACAGUCUUUUGUCCAUGAGAUCAAACACAGAAGACAAACAUGACACCCUGAAGCAUUAUGUGAAUUUGUUCUUGAAGAUGUAAGAGCUUCUCACAAACCCUUGAACACACCACCAGGGAGAGUUUUACAGGUUCAGACACCAUAGCUGAGCCACAGCUCUGGCUUCUCCAAAUGAGCAGUAAUUCCAGCCUCCAGGUUUCCCAUCCUCUGGAAAAGCCGUCCGCUGCCUGUCCCGCUGACUUCCGACGGGGGUGGAGAGAGAGACUUUUAAAGUAAUACCUCACCGCCCUCUUAACAAGCCAUCCAUCCGUCCUGCAUCCCAGUGUUCCCACCUCCAUACCGCUCCAUCCCUCAAUGGACACAGAGAGCUAGGCCUCAUCAGGAGAGGAAGAGGAGGAGGGAGGGGGGGGAGGGUGUUUGGACUUAUUCCCUCUCCGACGGUGGGAAGGAGAGCGGUAAAUCUGGAUAGAAAGGUGACUUGGCCUCAGAAAGAGCAGUAACAGCAUCAUAAGUGUGUUUCUGUGUGAAGUAAAUGCUUCUAAGGUGAUAAUAUGGGAAUUUAUGAGGUUAUUUAUCCCUUCAAUAAAAGCCCCAACAAUCCACAUUA